GCCCCCAUCGUUCAACGGACAGGACGAGGGUUUCCUAAACCCUAAAUCGAGGUUCAACUCCUCGUGGGGGUA
rfam:Candidatus Harrisonbacteria bacterium RIFCSPLOWO2_02_FTLL_41_13b rifcsplowo2_02_scaffold_33165, whole genome shotgun sequence.